UCUCAUUGAAUCCAUAAAGAAAACACAGAAAACAGAGAAAACAAAGAAACAAAAACCAAAAGGACCCUUGUUUCUUCAGCCUUACGAAGAGCUACCUGCUUCUUCAGCCUUAUGAAGAGCCAUCUCGCCAUUGAUAUCCACACUUGAGCUCAAUCCCUUCAUCAAUCUCUCCUCAGAAAGAGAAAGAGUGUCAAAGAGAGAAGAAGAAGAAGAAGAAGAAGAAGAACAGGGAUCUCGUGGAUUUUUAACUUUCUGAGAUUUCUAGUGUUUCUUCGGCCUUUGACACCGUCUCGAGCAUCCGAUUUUGAGUCUUCUCUUGCGUUGCGAGUAGUGUUCAUUUAGUAAUGGUGAAUAUGUGAAAGCAGGAUUAGCUGAAUUAGAAAGGUGGUGCUAUGAUGCAACAGAAGAGUACGCAGGUUCAGCAUGGGAGGAAUUGAAGUAUAUCAGACAGACUGUAGGAUUUUUGGUGAUACAUCAAAAACCCAAGAAGACGCUGAAAGAAAUAACAAAUGACUUGUGCCCGGUGCUAAGCAUAUGGCAAUUGUAUAGAAUCAGCAUCAUGUACUGGGAUGACAAAUA